UGAGAACACUAUGCUCAUAGAACUUUGAACUAUUGCUUCAUAAAUUCUUACAGGUGUAUUAAUAAAUUAGAAAGUUAUCUAGAUGAUUAGUGAGAAAGAUAUUUAGAUGAUUAGUGACAAAAAAUAUACUACAUGUGGUGAAAUUGAAGUUUAAGGUGAGGUGGAGUAAUGAGUGAGAUGCUGGAGUGAACCAAGCCAGAUAGUUAAGUAAAUCAUGGAUGAUAGAAAUGGACUGCCACACACCCCAUCCAAGUAUCCGUUUUAAUACAGGAUAUUAGAUUGCUAGUCAUAUUUUAUAGUUUAGUUGAAUUGUUUGAUUUUAUUCAGACAUCUAAAUCAACAUGUGUUAUGACACAUGGGAGUAUCAGAAAAUUUAAAUAACAGCCUAUGUAUGAAUAUGCUGGUUGAGCUUAUUGAACUAUCCAUAUAGACAAUUAAAAUGUUUGUGAUUGCGGGGUGUAUCUUCAUA
rnacentral:lncRNA from 1 species